rnacentral:rRNA from 1 species
CCUACGGGAGGCAGCAGUGGGGAAUAUUGCACAAUGGGGGAAACCCUGAUGCAGCGACGCCGCGUGAGUGAAGAAGUAAUUCGUUAUGUAAAGCUCUAUCAGCAGGGAAGAAAAUGACGGUACCUGAGUAAGAAGCCCCGGCUAACUACGUGCCAGCAGCCGCGGUAAUACGUAGGGGGCAAGCGUUAUCCGGAUUUACUGGGUGGAAAGGGAGCGUAGACGGCAGUGCAAGUCUGGAGUGAAAGGCGGGGGCUCAACCCCCGGACUGCUCUGGAAACUGUACGGCUGGAGUGCAGGAGAGGUAAGUGGAAUGCCUAGUGUAGCGGUGAAAUGCGUAGAUAUUAGGAGGAACACCAGUGGCGAAGGCGGCUUACUGGACUGUAACUGACGUUGAGGCUCGAAAGCGUGGAGAGCAAACAGGAUUAGAUACCCCAGUAGUC